rnacentral:rRNA from 1 species
AUUGAACGCUGGCGGCAGGCCUAACACAUGCAAGUCGAGCGAGCGGCGGACGGGUGAGUAAUGUAUGGGGACUGCCCGAUAGCGGGGGAUAACUACUGGAAACGGUGGCUAAUACCGCAUACUAUCGGAUAACCCAUAUGGGAUUAGCUAGUUGGUGGGGUAAAGGCUCACCUAGGCGACGAUCUCUAGCUGGUGUGAGAGGAUGACCAGCCAAACUGGGACUGAGACACGGCCCAGACUCCUACGGAGGCAGCAGUGGGGAAUAUUGCACAAUGGGGGCAAGCCUGAUGCAGCCAUGCCGCGUGUAUGAAGAAGGCCUUAGGGUUGUAAAGUACUUUCAGCGGAGAGGCGUUACCCGCAGAAGAAGCACCGGCUAACUCCGUGCCAGCAGCCGCGGUAAUUC